rnacentral:lncRNA from 1 species
GAUCGAUAAUUGACCAAAUAAUUGAUAUUGAUCACAAUUUUGACUAAUUUUUAAAAGGUCAAAAAGGUAACUUUACAUUUUUGUACAUAGAAUAAUUAAAUAAAAAACCAAAAAUAAUAAAAGAAAUCUACCCCAUCCACUCUCACGAAAACAAAAAGAGGCUGAAGGUCGUCACUUUCUUCUUCCCUAACUUCGACCCAUACCGAUCGUCACCGGAACCCACAUAGCCAGUCGUCACCGGCACCUACAUCACAAGAACUGCUUCCCAUAGACAGUCGCCACCACUUUAAGGCCGCUGGGUAGAUUAUGAAAACGGAAAUGUCGAUGUGCAGAAUAAGAAGUCAAAUUUGGAGCAAUAUGUGACACAAUUGGAUCAAUUGAGGGUAUACCCAUCAUCGUUCGGUGUUGUCGAGGGAUUGUGGGUUGAUUUUGGUGGAAAAAGAGCUCUAAUUUUGCCAGUUGGAAAAGCCAAAAUUUUCCCAGUUAGCAAGUGAUUCAAGGCAAAAUUAUUGUCCAAAUUUGGGUAAGUUUGGGGCAUUGAUUGAAGCAAUUGAGGACACAUUAGUGGUCGUAUGAUGCUACUAAUCGAUUGGCAACGAUGCCCGACUGUAUGUGUCAUCGGAAUCUAUAGAUUUCGAAGUUGGACUGCCCGAUUCCCAUGGCUUUAAGGAUGAUUUUGAUAUCCAUAUUAGUUUCUUUCAUUUAAUUGUGGGAGAUGUCUUUGUGAAAUGUAGUUGCCGGCUAGGGGAUGAAAUUCUGGCGGAUGGAGUGGCUCGCGGUUGCCCUUUUUUUUUGUUUGUUUGGGUGGAGUGGGAGAAAGGAUUUUUUUAUUAUUAUUAUUUUGAUUUUUUAAUUUAAUUUUUAACUUAUUUUAGGGAUAAUAUGUAAAGUUACCCUUUUGUCCUAUUAAAAUUAGUCAAAAUUGUGGUCAACAUCAAUUCUUUGAUCAACUAACGGUCAAAUGAACAGUUUCCAUUCAUUUGGAUCUUUACUACAUAUUUUUGAAAGGUUAGAAAUUGA